rnacentral:sRNA from 1 species
GCUGGGGUGGUGGUGCAUGCUUGUAAUCCCAGUGGCUUGGAGGCUGAGGCUGGAGGAUCACAAGUUCAAAGCCAGCCUCAU